UGCAGUUCCAGGGAGAAUACAGGAGCACGUCAGUGAUGGUGGGCAGAGGCAGACUUACUCCAGUUCCUCGUCUCUCUCCAUCUCCUCAGAAGUUUGACUGUCUUUAGCGUUGUCCUUCAGGUGCUUCCUGUGGUUAAAAAUUGACAACAUGUCUUUCAGAUCUCAGCGUGCUUGUGUCCCCACUGCCAACCAGUCGCAGCAGAUGGCCCCGCCCCUCCCUGAGCCUGAUUCUGCCGGAAGUUUCUUCCUGUUAAAAGGGAGUUUUUCCUU